UGGAUGCAACCUACGAGAGGGCAACUGAAUGACAGGAGGAUGGGGCUCUGACACUUUCGCUGCCAGGGAUGGGGAAAAAGGGGCAGCUGUCAUUGACGCAUGAAAGUGGAGGCAGGCUCCCUUCUUGCCCCUGGAAGUGCAAAGGUUCAGGAUGCCUUCAGGGCUCCACUGAGCAUGCGCAAGGGUCCCAAUUCGAAUCAUUGAAUCCCCCAUGGUCUGCACCGGUGUGGAACUACCAUUUGCACUCACUCCGCUUUCCCUGAAUCCACAUCACGUGACUUCCUUCAAUUCGAUUCCCCCUCAGUCCGGAAGGGUCACGUAACAGCGACCAGCUAAUUGUUGAAACAGAAGCUGCAUACUUUGGACUAAAUCUUAGAAGAGCAAACAAGGUUUUCCUUUACGAUAGAAAAAGCAGAGGGCCACAUGACAAUUAAAGACACAAAAACAUCCUCCUUCCGACACUCUCUCUUUCUCUUUUCCCCCCAGAGCCAUCUUGUUCUAUGGGGCAUCUCAAUGGGUCUCCACCAUCGAGAAAGCACCCAAAAACCCAAGAUGGGUUACAUGCCUUUCCCCACUCGCUUUGAAGUGGGAAUAAUGUACAUUUCCCAGUUUGGGAUCCACGCUGAAUUCGGCAUGAGCUAAAUUUCAACAUUUUAUCCGUUUACCUAGAAACCAAUUAACUGCUUUGAGUCAGGCCUAGUACCAUCUCUGGGUUUGUUCCUAAGCUGGCGCCUUUCAUGUUCACAGACCAGCGCAGAAAGAGACUCCCAACUGAGCGCUAGCAAAGACUUGGAGUCAGCCAACAAGAAGGAAAGCCAAAAGUCAAAGUUGGGUUGCCUGAAGAUUGCUGGUCCAGAGGGAGCGUCUGGCAUCCAUUACACUGGGCUGUUAUAUUUUAUUGAUUUUAUCUUUGCCUACUAACUCUAAUAUAUGUACUGUAUUAUCUUUAUUGAUGUAAUCAAUAAAUAAAAUUUAUUAUUAC